GAUGAACGCUGGCGGCGUGCCUAAUACAUGCAAGUCGAGCGAACAGACGAGGAGCUUGCUCCUCUGACGUUAGCGGCGGACGGGUGAGUAACACGUGGAUAACCUACCUAUAAUACUGGGAUAACUUCGGGAAACCGGAUCUAAUACCGGAUAAUAUAUUUAACCGCUUGGUUCAAUAGUUAAAUACGGUUUUUCCGUCUCUUUUAGAUGGAUCCGCGCCGCAUUAGCUAGUUGGUAAGGUAACGGCUUACCAAGGCAACGAUGCGUAGCCGACCUGAGAGGGUGAGCGGCCACACUGGAACGGAGACACGGUCCAGACUCCGACGGGAGGCAGCAGUAGGGAAUCUUCCGCAAUGGGCGAAAGCCUGACGGAGCAAGGCCGAGUGAGUGAUGAAGGUCUUCGGAUCGUAAAACUCUGUUAUUAGGGAAGAACAAAUGUGUAAGUAACUAUGCACGUCUUGACGGUACCUAAUCAGAAAGCCACGGCUAACUACGUG
rnacentral:rRNA from 1 species